rnacentral:siRNA from 1 species
CAGUGAGGCCCAUACUCGACCU